UGGGGAAUAUUGGACAAUGGGCGCAAGCCUGAUCCAGCCAUGCCGCGUGGAUGAUGAAGGCCCUAGGGUUGUAAAGUCCUUUCAGCGGGGAAGAUAAUGACGGUACCCGCAGAAGAAGCCCCGGCUAACUUCGUGCCAGCAGCCGCGGUAAUACGAAGGGGGCUAGCGUUGCUCGGAAUUACUGGGCGUAAAGCGUACGUAGGCGGAUCCUUAAGUCGGUGGUGAAAUCCUGAAGCUCAACUUCAGAACUGCCUUCGAUACUGGGGACCUUGAGUUCGGGAGAGGUGAGUGGAACUGCGAGUGUAGAGGUGAAAUUCGUAGAUAUUCGCAAGAACACCAGUGGCGAAGGCGGCUCACUGGCCCGAUACUGACGCUGAGGUACGAAAGCGUGGGGAGCAAACA
rnacentral:rRNA from 1 species